ACCAGUGUGGUGUAGUGGUUUGAAUGUUGGACUACAACUCUGGAGGCCAGGGUUCGAUUCCUGUCUCAGCCA